rnacentral:rRNA from 1 species
CGGUCCCUAUCCGGUGUAGCCGUAGGAAACUUGAGGAAGGCUGUCCCUAGUACGAGAGGACCGGGACGGACGCAGCUCUCGUGUGCCAGUUGUCCUGCCAAGGGCACGGCUGGUUAGCGACCUGCGGAAGAGAUAAGCGCUGAAAGCAUCUAAGUGCGAAGCUUGUUCCAAGAUGAGGUUUCCCACUGGGUCAACCAGGUAAGGCCCGUGGUAGACGACCACGUUGAUAGGCCGGAGGUGUAAGCGCAGCAAUGCGUUGAGCCGACCGGUACUAAUCGGCCGAGGGCUUGGUUCU